GCGCGCAGAACGCGGCGGUCAGCUGCGCCCGGCCUGAAGUUGUCCCAACCGCGGCCGCGUCGGUCGCCCUUUUGACUUGCAGCAGGGCGGGCAGAGCGACUUAGAGGAAAAGUGACUUUUUGUACCCUCCUGCAGGGAGCAGGUUCUCUGUCCUUGUUUAAUUAGACAUUUCUCAGAGAAUCCUGCCUCUGCUCUGAAGCCUUUCUGUUCGCUCCAGUGAAAAUUAGUCAUCCACCGGGCGCGGUGGCUCACGCCUGCAAUCCCAGCACUUUGGGAGGCCGAGAUUCUCCUCAACCAUGAUGAAUAAUGCCUGGGAGAGGGGAAGAAGUAAUGGAAGCCUGCACGGGUGGCCCCAAGGCAGGCAGUCCUUGGACUCCCUGGACUGCGGCUGUCCUUGACCUCACUGCUGGGGCAUGUAAAAGGAACGACUCAGAGUCUAACAGGCCACAGUCUGGGCUUGAUGUUCACCGAUUUUCCCUCAGCUCCGACUGUGGCUCCUCUCAGCUGACUCUGACCCUGCUCUCAGCCGGGCUGCAUCUGCCCAUCUCAGCACAUCAAUAAACAGCAGAGGGAAACUACCACCUUGGAAGGAGCCAGGCAGUUUCUGCUGGGUAGGCCGCAGCCUGGAACAUGGAAGUAGCUUCUUCCAUCCUACACUGGAAACCACCCAGCAUCCCGGGCCCUCCAGAGAAGAGCCAGACUCCCUUCCCUGGGAAGAGACUAUAGUCCUAUCUGUAUCCUCCGUGGUCAUUGCCCCUCAGUCACAGCAAUGAAGAGCAAAUUACCUGUUUUCUGUAUGUUCCUCUGACAACAACUGCCACAGAGUAAAUAUGAAAGGUUCUGGAUGAUUCCUUGUCAGCUUUUAUUAAAAUUCCACAUACUUGGCA
rnacentral:lncRNA from 1 species